GACGAACGCUGGCGGCGUGCUUAACACAUGCAAGUCGAGCGGUAAGGCCCUUUCGGGGGUACACGAGCGGCGAACGGGUGAGUAACACGUGGGUGACCUGCCCUCAGCUCUGGGAUAAGCCCGGGAAACUGGGUCUAAUACCGGAUAUGACUCCAUGACGCAUGUUGUGGGGUGGAAAGCCUUGUGCGGCUGAGGAUGGGCCCGUGGCCUAUCAGCUUGUUGGUGGGGUGAUGGCCUACCAAGGCGACGACGGGUAGCCGGCCUGAGAGGGCGACCGGCCACACUGGGACUGAGACACGGCCCAGACUCCUACGGGAGGCAGCAGUGGGGAAUCUUGCGCAAUGGGCGAAAGCCUGACGCAGCGACGCCGCGUGAGGGAUGACGGCCUGUGUAACUC
rnacentral:rRNA from 1 species